rnacentral:tRNA from 1 species
GGCCCCGUAGCUCAGCGGAUAGAGCGGCGGACUUCGAAUCCGCGCGCGGAGGUUCGAUUCCUCCCGGGGCCACUA